rnacentral:rRNA from 1 species
ACUUCUUAGAGGGACUUUGCAUGUCUCCCGCAAGGAAGCUUGAGGCAAUAACAAUUUUGUGAUGCUUUCAACAUUUUCUCGACCUUACCUGGAAGGGUUAAGUAUUUUUUUAAACGCAUCGCGGUCGGGACGGAUUCUUGCAAUUCUUAAUUUUCAAUGUGG